GAAGGGCAGUUGUUGAAGCAAGGUUAGUGGGAAUGUGUUGUAGGCUCCUUUGAAAGAGAAGUGGGGGUGUUUUGGCAUUCUGCUUUUCUGGAUUAAGUGCGGUGUUCUUGGAAUUUUGCUGCCUUGUAGGACUGGAGACCCCUUUUUUGCAUGCUGACAUAUCUGCCCCCAGAAGUGAAGGAGCUGAAGGCAGGUCCUUGCUUCUUCUGGAAGUGCGCAGCCCCUGGAGCCAUACAGCUGAGUUCCCUCUGGUGUGAGCCUCUCUACCAUCAGCUUCUUGCUUGUACAGUGCUCUUGUGGCCUCUCUGUUUUACUUCUGUUAUUAAGAAACUUGAUCUGGGAUUUAGCCAAGUUCCUAGAAAUCUAAUAUUUUCUCUUUCCUUUCCUCUUGUGCAAGUUUAUCAGUGCUGGGCAGCUGCUAACAGUGGUAUUCGGGGGCUGAAUGCUGCAGGACUGACCCAAAAGUGGAAGGGAUGAGGAACUCAGCCGUUCUUCUUUAACAGUAGCAAAGAUUUAAAAAAAAAAAAAAAAAGUAAUAAUAAAGUAUCAUCUCAUGUGCUGUGGAAUGUGUCUCCAGAAAAAUGAGCAGGCAAGUCCCUUUUCCAAGCACUUUGAAACUGCAGAGAAAAUCAGCCUAGAGAUUUUUCUAAGCUGGCUGCACAAAGUGUUUGAGACUGCAGUUAUGCUGGUUUAUGCUCCUUUUUUAGGGGGCACAGGUUAGUGUUCUGACACUAGCGGGGUAUCACAAGUGAAUAUCUAGUACGUAAAGAGGAAGGAAAUGUAUGGGGUCAAUAAUUGCAUGUGUGCUUCUAUAGGCAAUGCUAAUGUAGGAGGACUUGCUGUUUGGUUACUUCACAUCAGAGAUGAAAGAACAAAACAGAAAAUCUCAAUCACCCCCAAAAAUCCUCAAAACAAAAAUCUCAAAACCCUCAAAGGCACCUAGCAAGACAUGGCUGCUCUUAUUCAAUAGACUGAAGCUUUCUAUGUUCUGUGCCUGGAUUUCAUUUAGAAACCAGGAAAAAGCAGCCGUGCCUUCUGAUGGUGAAUACAGAAGAAACUUCUGAAGGAAAUUAGUGUUUCCUGGUAUUUCUUAUACUAUAUUCAAAGUUCACUGGGUCACUUGUGGUCUCUAGUAAUAAUGCUGUGGAUAGAGGGGAAGCUAAGUAUCUUGGUGGCUUGCUGAUAGCUCUGUAUGGUUGCCUUGUAUUCAACUUUCAUUACCACAGCCUGCUUCUGCAGAAUACUUGCAUGAAAAAAGUAUGACUCCAGUGAGGUUUCUGAUUAUUCAGCUGAAGUAACUGUUUAUCAAUGAGAGCUGUGGCUUGGUGUUUUAACAACAUUCUGUCUCUGAUCGAAGACAGAUUUGCCUUCACACUCAAGUUUUGUGGCCUAUGACUGAGGAGGUUGGCACUGGGACAGGAGGAGCUGAGGGAAUAGGUUGUGGACUGAGCAUUCCACUGGCAAAACGGUGCGAGACUGUGCUGGCUUCUCUUGUGCUCACCGAAAAUCUUCAUCUGUUGAAGAGCACAGGGUACAGGAAUGGAUGAGCUCAACUAGAACAUGGAAAGGAAAAGUUAAAGGCCCAAUAAACUAAUGUGGUACUGGAGAAGGCAGCGUCUGUCCCACCUGGAAUUUUGAAUGCAAAGUAAUUGUAACACCAAGGUGUUUGUGUGCUGUUCCAGUAAAGAACAUUCUGGGGAGUGGUAA